UGGAGUGAUUGGUGAUACUCUUAUGUAGACAGGGCUUGGAAACAACCAUAUAAGCUAUUUUUCAUGAUUACCCAUUGUGAAAAUGGGAGAUACAAAAUGGUGACAACACCACCUCUAAACCUCUCACAUGGUCUAGAAGGCACCUGUUCAAUAUCUCAUGUUCAUCUAGGAUCAUAAAAUUUCUUCAUGUUGUAGACUGAAAGGCUGACGUAGAUAAGAAAGCAACAAAGCUGAACAACCAGAGUUCUCUUCUUAAGUGGGUAGAAUCAAGGAGUAAGAAGGGCCAACACAUGGAAUUUCAAUCUCCUAUAGCCUUUCAGCAAAUACUUAAGGAGGGAACAUUUCCUUCUACCAAGCAGCAAUGAAAAUUAGACUUGAAGAAUUGAAGCCUUCUGCUCUUGGACACAAAAUAUUAUCAGCAAGUUCUGUUAAAAUGCAAGCCAUCAUUCUAGUGAUGUCAUCUGGCUCCAGAGCAGUCACAUUUGCAGUUCUGUCUCUGAAAAUAUGCUGAGAAGAAACUCACCUGAGAAUUUGUUGGCUGAAAAUGUCCUUUUGCUCAGGGCUGACACGGGUCGAUGGAAAGCCAUCCUGCUGCAUCACUUCCUUGAUCCACACACUCAGGUAACUGAAGCAAUGCUUGUUGAGAGCAAAAAGAAUCUCAGCAAAAUGAUCCAUCAAAUUUCGUGAAGCUUGGCCACCUAUA